GGGCGGUUAGCUCAGAGGGAGAGCAUCGGCCUUACAAGCCGGGGGUCAUCCGUUCAAGUCGGAUACCGCCCA
rnacentral:tRNA from 1 species